rnacentral:tRNA from 1 species
GGGGCCGUAGCUCAGCUGGGAGAGCACCUGCUUUGCAAGCAGGGGGUCAGGAGUUCAAUCCUCCUCGGCUCCACCA